rnacentral:rRNA from 1 species
GAUGAACGCUGGCGGCGUGCUUAACACAUGCAAGUCGAACGGGAAACCUUUUAUUGAAGCUUCGGCAGAUUUAGCUGGUUUCUAGUGGCGGACGGGUGAGUAACGCGUGGGUAACCUGCCUUAUACAGGGGGAUAACAACCAGAUAUGGUUGCUAAUACCGCAUAAGCGCACAGGACCGCAUGGUCCGGUGUGAAAAACUCCGGUGGUAUAAGAUGGACCCGCGUUGGAUUAGCUAGUUGGCAGGGUAACGGCCUACCAAGGCGACGAUCCAUAGCCGGCAUGAGAGGGUGGGCGGCCACACUGGGACUGGGCAACGGCCCAGAAUCCUACGGGAGGCAGCAGUGGGGAAUAUUGCACAAUGGGGGGAACCCUGAUGCAGCGCCGCCGCGAGAAGGAAGAAGUAUCUCGGUAUGUAAACUGCUAUCAGCAGGGCAGAUAGUGACGGUACCUGACUAAGAAGCCCCGGCUAACUACGUG